AUUCAUCUCCGUACCCCAGGCCCUGGUACACAGCAGGCAGGUAGCAACUCCAGGCGGGCACGCAUCUUUGUUGUGUUCUCUGCUGACUAUAUCCUCAGCACCUAGAACUGUGUCUGUCACCUAAUAGAUGCUCAAUAAACCUGCCAGUAAUUUCAGCAAAUGAAACGUGGAACACGUCAAGGCCAGAGGAUGGAAAAGGCUCCAGUUUUGAUAAAAGGAGGCCUGCUUGGCUUGGAAUCCUCUCUCCUGCUGGUUGGGAGAUGCAAAGAUGUUUCCAGAGAGGGGCUGAUGAAUUGAGGGGAAAGAAAUGAGCCCAGUAUGAGUCCCCUUUCAGGGCUGAGCGUGUAUAAAACCAAACAACUUGGAACCGCUCCAAGAGAGGGGAUUAAAGCAACAUGUUAUUCUGAGUGAUUGCUUAAUUUAUUGAGCUGCGGCUGGAUCUGUAAUGAAAUACAGCCCUUGUAACUGAUAACCUCCUGCUGCCAUUGAACUUCUACAAUUAAGGAAUAUUUUCUGAGUUUCUCUGGAACGGCUCUGAAUUUUUAGCCUCUGUGGUAGGGUGCUUCUGAACAUUUGUUUUCCAGGCAAUUUUUUUUGAGUAUUAGGCUGAUGUUAAUAAAUAAGCAGCAUUUUAUUGAGUG
rnacentral:lncRNA from 10 species